rnacentral:lncRNA from 1 species
UCUUUUCUCUUCUUAUUUAUGAGACACAACCAAAUGAACAAAUUUUUAUGUGUGAAGCUCUCUCUCCUUAGGAACCCUCUUGUGUGUAUGAUUUACUAUUACUCUUGUAUCUUUCUAAACAUUCUCAACAUGUUAUCAACACGACUCUCUUCUACACACUAUCACAAUUUUUUGCUCUAGUCUUUGACUCUUCAAACUUGUUGCUACCCUUGCUCAGUGUCUUCCUCAUGAUCUAGUUCUUCUUGCUAGCCCCUCACACAUUAGUUGCUUGUUUAGAGUACUUGUUCCACUCUUUGCCCUGCUUGCUCAGAAUACUUGAUCC